UACGAAGGGGGCUAGCGUUGCUCGGAUUGACUGGGCGUAAAGGGCGCGUAGGCGGUUUGUACAGUCAGACGUGAAAUUCCUGGGCUCAACCUGGGGGCUGCGUUUGAUACGUAUGGACUUGAGUUCGGAAGAGGGUCGUGGAAUUCCCAGUGUAGAGGUGAAAUUCGUAGAUAUUGGGAAGAACACCGGUGGCGAAGGCGGCGACCUGGUCCGAUACUGACGCUGAGGCGCGAAAGCGUGGGGAGCGAACAGG
rnacentral:rRNA from 1 species